rnacentral:tRNA from 1 species
GGAGGAGUUGAGCAACGGUGGCUCUCUUGUCUUGAAAACAAGCGCCAGAAAUGGCAUGUGGGUUCGAAUCCCUCCUCCUCCGCCA